rnacentral:lncRNA from 1 species
CGGGGGUUCAACUCAAGCAAUAAAAGAUGCCAUCACGGCCCUUAACCAGGAAGUAAUGCAGCUUGGCCAGUCUCUUUACAACCAGCCUGGCGCUCCCGGUGCUGGUGCUGGUGCAGGGCCAACUCCACCUGGUGCCGAAGCUGGUGGACCUUCAGAAUCAUCGUCCGGCAAGGGACCUGAUGGAGAUGUUAUUGAUGCAGAUUUCACCGACAGCAAGUGAGCAAGAUGGUUGGAUAGAAGUUAGUGGUUUUCUUGCAUAAUUUGUUUUCACUAAAUGUGUAUAAGAGAAUGAUUUUGCGGGGAUGGGAUGUGGUGUUGGAUUACUGUCAU